AGUGCAGCAGGUAGCGCCGCAAACUUAAACAUAUCACUAGCGGCAGCAAGAGAAACCAACCGGGAGGCCCUGAGUAACGGCGAGCGAAAAGGGUCGAGUCCGACGUCGAAUCUGCCUAGAUGGACGACUUCGAAGCAGAGUUGUGACGACGAGCGGAUUACGAGCUUGACGCGAGCGUACCCAGAACCGCAUCAGGUCUCCGAGGUGAGAAGCCUCUGGCCGAACGGCAAAAGGCGGGCUAGGGAAUUCGGCAAAAUAGAUCCGUACCUUCGGUACAAGGAUUGGCUCCGCGGGUCGCGUCUACCGGCUUGCAUCGGCGACCGACGACGUGGCGACCGUUGUCCUCCUCGGGGGAUGGCUGUUGCAACGGAGGCGGGCGAAGGUGCGAGUUGAGCGGUGCGGGUUUCGGCCUGCAUCGCUCGCCACGGUAGGCUAAAAACGAUCGACGCGGAGCUGGCACCGACACGGCUGACCGGACAGUUUAAUUAAAACGCAGCGCGUGGCUAUCCGCAAGCGGCGUGAAUCACGCGUGAGUCCUGCCCGGUGCUAUGAAUGUCAAGGUGGGGAGAUUCACCUAAGCACUAGUUAACGGCAGGAGUAACUAUGACUCUUUUAAGGUAGCAAAAUACCUUGUCGCAUAAUUGGCGACGUGCAUGAAUGGAUCAACCAGGUCAGCACUGUCCCAGUCCGGUCGCCGGCGAACCAACAGACGGGGGAACGGGCCCGUCAGACACAGCGGGGAAAGAAGACCCUGUUGAGCUUCACUUCAUCUGUCGCCUGCAGGCGGGUGCAGCGUCUGUAGUAAUAGAUGGGAGGCGUUCGUUUCGGCGUUCGCCGGUUGUGAAAGACCAUUGACGCAGUUACUCGCUCGCUAACCUGGUGAGAGGGGAAGCGCGCGUUCGGUCUUCGGGCCGACGCGCCAGAUCCAUGCAACAAAGCGACGACGCGGCGCACCUCGUGUGCUGCCGACCACGGACGUCGCGACCCGUGCCAGGGACAAGCCGCGGUGGGAAGUUUGGCUGGGGCGGUACGACCCGAAAAGUGUGGCCGGGUCGACCAUGAGUCGAUCUCAGUGUGGACGGAAACCUCACGUAGCGUUUAAGGACAAAUGAU
rnacentral:rRNA from 1 species